UUUAAAAAGAAAAUUAAAAACGAGGGGCAAUUUGUACACAUUAUUUUUAAAAUUCAAUAAUAAUAUUUAUAAUAAUAUUUAAUAUUAAAUCCAAUUUUAAUUUAUUAUUACAAAUAAAUAUCCAUAAAUUUUAUAAAAAUAGUAUUUCAUUUUAAUUUUAAUUAUAAGGUACAUUAUGAUUUGAAUUAUUUUUUAAAAAAAAAUUAAAACAAUAUAUUUUAAUAAUUAUUUUCAUACAACAAUAUAUAACCUAUUAAAUUAAAUAUAGUUUAUUGUGGAUUAUCAAACUAAAAAACAGAAUCCUCUAAUUUUAAAUAACACCGCCAUAUAAUUUAAUUUUUUAAAAUAAAUAUAAUAAUUAAAUUAAUUUUAUAAUAUAAUA
rnacentral:rRNA from 1 species